AUACGUAGGGGGCGAGCGUUGUCCGGAAUGAUUGGGCGUAAAGGGCGCGUAGGCGGCCCGGUAAGUCUGGAGUGAAAGUCCUGUUUUUAAGAUGGGAAUUGCUUUGGAUACUGUCGGGCUUGAGUGCAGGAGAGGUAAGUGGAAUUCCCAGUGUAGCGGGGAAAUGCGUAGAGAUCGGGAGGAACACCAGUGGCGAAGGCGGGUAACUGGACUGCAACUGACGCUGAGGCGCGAAAGUGUGGGGAGCAAACAGGAUAGAUACCCUGGUAGUCCACACUGUAAACGAUGAAUGCUAGGUGUAAGAGGUAUCGACCCCUUUUGUGCCGGAGUCAACACAAUAAGCAUUCCGCCUGGGGAGUACGGCCGCAAGGUUGAAACUCAAAUGAAUUGGCGGGG
rnacentral:rRNA from 1 species